rnacentral:rRNA from 1 species
ACUGGUUGAGUGAUCAACUGGGCACUCUGUUGGGACUGCCUGCGUUUAAGCAGGAGGAAGGCAAGGUCGACGGCACGUCAGUAUGCCCCGAAUCUCCCGGGCUACACGCGGCAUACAGAGGCCAGAACAAUGGGCUGCAACGCAGAGAUGCGAAGCUAAUCCCCUAAAACUGGUCAAAGUCCGGAUUGAGGGUUGAAACUCGCCCUCAUGAAGCUGGAAUCCCUAGUAAUCGCUUGUCACUAUCGAGCGGUGAAUAGGUCCCCGCUCCUUGCACACACCGCCUGCCAACUCAUCCAAGUGAGGAUUUAGUGAGGCUGGGUCAAACCAUUCGAACUAAGUUUUUAUGAGGAGGGGUAAGGCAUAACAAGGUAUCCGUAGGGGAACCUGCGGAUAGAUCACCUCAA